UGAUUCUCCCAAUGAACUAGAAUACCAUCUAUCUGGCACAUGCUCUUGGAAGCCUUCCAACAACUUGCCUCGGGAAAAGAUCUAGAGCUGAAGCAAAACCAAAUCAAAAUUGAUUGAAAUGAAAACACCCAAAGGGCACGUUGAAGAAGGAGAAAGUAUUGCAAAGCUUGUGCAGAUGAAACUCCACCAUGGAAGGUCCCAAGCCUGGCUGUGAAAAGAGGGUUGGGUAUGGGGCUAGAAACCCAUCCCAUAAAAACCCAGAGCUACAGAAGCGUCAACAGAAUCCUCCAAGACCUCAUCCCCGGGAGAGGAAGGAUCUUCAAAUCUGAAAGUCUGACCCAGGACAGAGAGCUGCUGUCAGUGGCCUAUGCCCCAGUAGAGGUGAUGGGCUUAAACUCCAUAAUCGAUUACACCGGAGCAAACAACAUUAUUUAUCUAUCCUGAUGAAGAGUCUCGUUCCGAAACGUCGGCUGUUCAUUAUUUUCCAUAGAUGCUGCCUUACCUGCUGACUUCCUCCAGCAUGUUGUAUGUGUUAACUCACGAUAUUUAUCUGGAUAUUAGAUCAAUCGAGAGAUAUAUGGACGCAGUGCAAGU